rnacentral:rRNA from 1 species
GACGAACGCUGGCGGCGCACCUAAGACAUGCAAGUCGAACGGUCCCUUCGGGGACAGUGGCGGACGGGUGAGUAACACGUGGGAGACCUACCCUGGGGUGGGGGAUAACGUCGGGAAACCGGCGCUAAGACCGCAUACGCGGGGCGACAUAGCGGUCGCUUCUGGAAAUGCGCAAGCAGCCCUGGGCGGGUCCCGCGGCGGAUUAGCUAGUUGGGGGGGUAGUGGCCCACCAAGGCGACGAUCCGUAGCUGGUCUGAGAGGACGGCCAGCCACACCG